GACGGAGGGGGCUAGCGUUGUUCGGAAUUACUGGGCGUAAAGGGCGCGUAGGCGGUGCAGUAAGUUGGAAGUGAAAUCUCGAGGCUCAACCUUGAAAUUGCUUUCAAAACUGUUGUACUAGAGUGUAGUAGGGGAUGAUGGAAUUCCUAGUGUAGAGGUGAAAUUCUUAAAUAUUAGGAGGAACAUCAGGGGCGAAAGCGAUCAUCUAGGCUAUUACUGACGCUGAGGCGCGAAAGCGUGGGGAGCAAACAGG
rnacentral:rRNA from 1 species